GCCGGUGCCGGAGUCCGGCAAUAGCUUCCAGGCGGAGGUAGCUAUAAGUGGCCGUGUAUGCCACCCCAACAUAAGACACCCAUCGUUUUCUUCCACCCUGUAACCAUCGCCGCCGGCGAACAGAGCUAAAAGCAUGGAAGCUUGUUUGAACGCAUUUGAACCCAGAUGAACCGGAUCGAACCCAGAUGAGUUCAUCCUAACCCUCCAUUGAUUCAGUGUUUCAUGUCGUUCAACUCGAUCUGAACCUUCACAAGCCACCACGUUACAAAUCUGUCUCCCUAAAUAAACCUCCGACAUCACCAAAUCUUGAUUGUUCACCGGAGGUUGAGGAAGAAUCCCAGUUGGUGAAGCUGAAGACGAAGACCCAGAGCUUUCUAACGAAUCAAACAUGGUUGAGUAAUAAUGCAAAGCUUCGUUAAAUCUAUCAAUAAAAACCCCUGCGUUAUGAUUCGCUUCUUGCUCAACAAGAGUAACAAUCUUCGGGUUAAUCUGUUUAAUAGAGUUCAACACUUUUUCAAUUGCUCCCGGCCGGGAUAACAAUCGAUGAAGCUCAAAAACAGAGUUUAUAGCUACUGCUUCAGUUUCACUUGGCCUUAUAUCAAGUAUAGUCGCAUCAAGAUCUGCUAAUGAAUUAGCAACAAAUCCCCUGAAUUCAAAUUCAACCCCAAUAGUUUCCGCUAACUGAGCUAACUUCCAUCCAACUUGUUGCAAGGCAUCUGUGUUAUCCGGCUGUGGAGGUCCGAUUCCGGUGAGUCUAAAUGCCGGAGGUCCACCGGGGCGUAAAGCUAAAGCUUGCAUAAGUGCAGGCCAUUGCAUACCCUGUUUUAAGCUGAAAUCAAUUACAUGAACUUUGUUACAACCUGUAAACGCUUCAAGAAUGGCUUGAUUAGCAGUAAAAUGAGCGAAUUUGAGAUAAGGGCAAGUUUCAUAGAAAUGCAUUUGUAAAACAUCUGUAUAUGAUGAUUCCAUUGAAUCUUGUGGAUAAAUUUUGUAGAUUCUUCUUGCUAAUGCUUCAGCAAAGUAAGUAGCAACUUUUCUCAUAGCACCAGAUUGUGAAACCGCAAGAAUACCAAUAUGUCUAACAAGUUGAUCCGCUAAAGUUAAAUUUUCUUGUUGUACAGCUUCAGCACACGCCAUUAAAGUAUGAACAAGACGAACCCCAGUUUCUUGUGAAUCAACUAGUACAACAGGUCUCGUUGCUGAUGAAUCUGUCACCAUAGAUGAGGAUGUAGUUGAAAAACUAGAAGUUGUUGAUCUGUGUCUUUUAUUACUAUCCGAAUUGAAAACAGCACCACCAGGUAUAGCUCUUAAAUCAUCAUCAGAAAUGGUACUUGUUCGAUGAUUUUGUGAGAAAUCGAUUAUAGAAGAAGAAGAACCACAACCAGAUACAAGCACAUCGUUUUCCUGAUUACACAUAUCAAAGUUUGUCGAAAUCGAAGAUAACAUACUUUGUACCCAACCAGCCAUAUCAGAUGGGUUUUUAUGAACGGUAUCAGUAGAAAGAUGAGUAAUACCAUCUUCCAUCGUUGUACCCAUAGCCAUCUCAAGCUGUUCAAGUUUUUGAGCAACAUCCGCCAUAUCAGACGACUUCACUUUAUAACCCAAAACAGCUAAAAGCUCAUCCAUUCCAGCAUCUGGUUUUUCUUCUUCAUCUUCUUCCCAAAUCUUACUUUUCCCUGAAGAAACAGCACCAUUAGAGAAUGCUCUUUUCUCUCUUUCUCGAUCUCGAUCUCGAUCUCUCUUCAUCUUUUAAGAGAUGGGGUUCAAGAUUGGGUAAGAAUGACAAGUGCUGGAUUUUGAGAAGCAAGAAAAUUUUGCAUCAAUGGGGGAGUUUGAAAGGUAAAAGUCUGAUAUUUUUGCUUGGUUUUUUGCAUCAAAGGUUUCAGAUUUUAUUUUAUUUAUGUGUUUUUGGGGGAUUGUGAGGGAAGAAGAAGUGCUCGUGAAGAGGGGCGCGAGCUUCAAGAAUGGAGGCACAGU
rnacentral:misc_RNA from 1 species